rnacentral:lncRNA from 1 species
AUGGCCUUAGAAUGUAAAAAUGAAUGCCCACUUCCAGGUAUGGCUGAGGAGGGUGAAAAUGCAUGCACCCACAGACACACACACACACACCGUGGAAAUGAGGAAAAGUUACUUCUCUCUGUUGUAAAUUUAAAUGCAGUCCAGAGUAGUGAAGGCCGUUUGUAAGGUCUGCUGAGCUAAUGGAUUCAUAAUGACUUUUAAAGCUUCACUCGGGCAAACAGAGCACUGACACCGCCUGGCAAGAAAAAGUGAGCAGCAGUAGUAUCUCUUCACAUGAAGAUUUCUUUAACUGGAAUCCCAAAUCCAGAUCAAAUGGACUAAAUUCCACAGUGCAGUGGGGAUCUUCACAUUGAGGGAGAUUUAACUCCACCUUUCGUUCAUCGGUUCAAUGAUUUGAUAGCAUGAUUAUGGUGCUGAGCAUUUAUCUUUGUCUAAUCAAUAGAUCUCUUGGGAUCUAAAGAUGCAUCUUAUGGUGAUAUAGACAAAAGAGGCAUUUAUAGAUAAAGUCAGCCAUGGGAGAGCAUAUCAGAUUGUGCAAGAGCAAUAAUACAUGGAAGUGAGCAGCAUGAGUU